UUGCCAAAGCGCAUGCUCAUCAGAAAUCAUAUGAUUAUUGGGUUUUUUCUGUAUUUUUCUCUCAUCCACAUCAAAAGGAGCAGGUUAAAGUGGUUCUGGCAUCUGACAAGGACAGUUACGGAACCUUCAAGUAACUGCCAGAGGUUUCCUUACUACGGUUCGGGGCCGCGGAUCUGGCGUGGUAACACCGGCUUCUGCGAGUGUGACGCUUAUUUUGAGCGAUGAAAAAAUAAUAGAAUGUAAUGGGAAGUCUUUAGGACCCAGGGGACCCAAUGGAGGGUAUAAAAGAGGAAGUAGCAGCAGGUGCUCUUCAUUUCCACUGACGAGCGGCUGUGAACAAUGGUUGUGUGAGUAGGUGAAGAGCCUGAGAAGUUUUAAUUGUCUGCUACACAAACAGUUGUUGUAAACCUCUACAGCAGAGGUUCGAGGUACAGGCUGUUUUUCUUUUAGUGUUUUUUUUUUUUUUAAAUUUGUUGAAAUGUAUUUGAUGUUUAUUGUAUUUUAUGUUUUAGUAGUGAUUUUCACAAGAUAAGCCAAGAUAAGCCAGGUGUGCAGCAAACACAGUUGUCUGCUGGAGGGCAGGCUGCACAUGUGAAUUUGUCGCUGUUUUUUUUCCCUCCUUCUCCUUGUUGUUGUGUUUUUGGUUUUGGUAGGGUCACCUUUUAAAACUGUUUUUUUUUAUGCCGGGUUUGUUUUUAUUUCUACUGGGCUGGUGCAAUAUUAGUCGGGCAAUGUGCAAUCCCUGAGUGGGACUCUUACCUUAGGGGAAUUAGGAUCUUUAGAGGUGCUCUGUGUGGAUUUGCAGUGAAUAAGUUUUUAUUAAGAGUGAUUUUUAGUGCCACCGAUUAUUGCCUGAACUAGCACUUAGUGCAUGCGAUAAGUGUUCUGUUGGGCUCGUAUUUAUUUGGGGUGGAUUUGUUUCUUUUAAAGCAACGAGCAUCUGGGACCGCCAAGGGAGAGCAAGCCCUCAGGUGAUAGUUGCAUUGCUGGCAGGUUGCACCAAUAACACUAUCUUGUGGUCGUUAGUGACCUUUUUACCAUUUUGAUGUUUUAGGCCUUUUGCAAACCCUUUGUGUUCUUUUAAAAUAAUAAAUUUUAACAGAUCUGACUGAUAUUGACCCUCUUGUCCUGUUUAUUCUGGGCUCG
ensembl:lncRNA